rnacentral:rRNA from 1 species
AUUGAACGCUGGCGGCAUGCCUUACACAUGCAAGUCGAACGGCAGCACGGGAGCAAUCCUGGUGGCGAGUGGCGAACGGGUGAGUAAUAUAUCGGAACGUGCCCAGUAGUGGGGGAUAACUGCUCGAAAGAGCAGCUAAUACGGCAUACGACCUACGGGGUAACGGGGGGGAGCGGAAGACGUUGCGCGAUUUGCGCGGCCGCUAUCAGGUUAGCUAGUUGGUGGGGUAAAGGCCUACCAAGGCAACGAUCUGUAGUUGGUCUGAGAGGACGACCAGCCACACUGGGACUGAGACACGGCCCAGACUCCUACGGGAGGCAGCAGUGGGGAAUUUUGGACAAUGGGCGCAAGCCUGAUCCAGCAAUGCCGCGUGCAGGAAGAAGGCCUUCGGGUUGUAAACUGCUUUUGUCAGGGAAGAAAUCCUCUAGGUUAAUACCCUUGGGGGGAUGACGGUACCUGAAGAAUAAGCACCGGCUAACUACGUGCCAGCCGCCGCAGUAACAC